AACCUAGCACACCUGCGGUGUGUACCUGCGGAGGGAUCAUUAUCGAGUUACCACUCUAUAACCCUUUGUGAACAUACCUACAUGUUGCUUCGGCGGUCGGCCCCCCGGGCCCCCGGCCCCGCUCACGCGGGGCGUCCGCCGGAGGAUAACCAAACUCUGAUUUAACGACGUUUCUUCUGAGUGGCACAAGCAAAUAAUCAAAACUUUCAGCAAUGGAUCU
rnacentral:misc_RNA from 1 species